rnacentral:rRNA from 1 species
CGGCUACCACUUACAAAUGGACCCGCGGCGCAUUAGCUAGUUGGUGAGGUAACGGCUCACCAAGGCAACGAUGCGUAGCCGACCUGAGAGGGUGAUCGGCCACACUGGGACUGAGACACGGCCCAACUCCUACGGGAGGCAGCAGUAUGGAAUCUUCCGCAAUGGACGAAAGUCUGACGGAGCAACGCCUCGUGAGUGAUGAAGGUU